rnacentral:tRNA from 1 species
AGGGUUGUGACUCAGAGGAAGAGCACUCGCCUUGCAUGCGUGUGGCCUGGGUUCGAUCCUCAGCAUCACAU